AUGCCGCGUGUGUGAUGAAGGCCUUAGGGUCGUAAAGCACUUUCGCCAGGGAUGAUAAUGACAGUACCUGGUAAAGAAACCCCGGCUAACUCCGUGCCAGCAGCCGCGGUAAUACGGAGGGGGUUAGCGUUGUUCGGAAUUACUGGGCGUAAAGCGCACGUAGGCGGAUCAGAAAGUUGGAGGUGAAAUCCCGGGGCUCAACCCCGGAACUGCCUCCAAAACUCCUGGUCUUGAGUUCGAGAGAGGUGAGUGGAAUUCCAAGUGUAGAGGUGAAAUUCGUAGAUAUUUGGAGGAACACCAGUGGCGAAGGCGGCUCACUGGCUCGAUACUGACGCUGAGGUGCGAAAGUGUGGGGAGCAAACAGGAUUAGAUACCCUGGUAGUCCACACC
rnacentral:rRNA from 1 species